UCCCUCCGUCCCGCUAUUCAAGUCCCAUUUUCCUUUUUGGGUUGUCCCACCGAUAAUGUCCCGUUUCCUAAAAAGGAAAUAAUAAGGGGAUGCUUAACAUUAAAUGAGAUCACUAAUUAUCACACUAAUUAACCCCUAAUUUUCUUUCUCUCUCCACAUUCUCUUUCCUCUCUCUUUUCUUCACCAAUCCGCCGCCCUCCCACCUCCCACCUCCACCAUCUUGCCACCUCCACCGCCCUCCCACUUCCACCAUCGCGCCACCCUCUGCCGCCUCCACCCACGCCGCCUCUUCUUUUCCCUCCUACCUUGCUUUUAUCUUACCCCAAUUUCUAGGGUUCCCUGCUUCUCUUCGAAUUUUCGCCCCUUUGGUGAGUCCCGCCACCACCGUUGCCGUCGCACCGCCGCCCUCUGUCUCAGAUUUCUGAAAAUGCAGAUUUCUGAAAAUGCUUAUUAAAGCUUGAAGUUGGAAUGUAGAAUUGUAGAUUUUGUAUUUUUGAAGUUGUAGAUUGUAGAUUGUAGAUUUCUGGAAGUUGAAUCUGCAUUCUGGAAAUGUAGAAUAUGCAUUCUGGAAAUGUAGAUUUUGUAUUUUUUGAAGCUUGAAGUUGGAAUGCAGAAUGGAUUUCUGGAGAUUUGGGUAUAUUUCGAAAUUGUAGAAUGUAGAAUGGGUAUAUUUCGAAAUUGUAGAAUGCAGAAUGGAUUUCGAGAUUUGGAGAUUUGGAAUGCAGAAUGGAUUUCUGGAAAUGUAGAUUUAGUUUUUUUGGAAAUUGCAGAUUUGGGUAUAUUUCGAAUUUUAA